GCUGUUCUCUCUGGUUAUAAAUCCCUCCCUGUCUCCUCCUCUUAUCUCACUCAAAACCCAGCUGAGAUUUCAGCAUUUCCAUGCAGACUCCUCCCUUAUACCUGUUCUUCUUUCCGCACUUGGGACUCUGCCAGCACUUGGCAUUUAAUCAGCCACAGUGGAUUUAAGUGUUUCACUUGUGAGUGGCUUAUCUCCCACAUUACACUAGAUAUUCCUUGAGGGCACUGACCAGCCUCCUGCAUCCGUCCGUCAGCUUGGCCCAGCCACAGCUCUGUCUCUUCUUGGUGAGUGGCUCUGGGCACUUGCCCCUUCCCAUCACUGUGCCUAAUCCCUCUCCUGUACACGGUGGGGACCACUGGAGGAGCUCUGGAGACUCCCUCUUGUGAACAUUAGUGACUGCUUACUUACCAGGACUCCAAAAUGGUCCCCAGCUUGCUUCAGAGAGCUCACAGCCAAGAUGACAAGUGAGACCAUCAACCAUCAGUCCACUACCACCCUCAUAUCAUUGUUUUAUAUGUAUGAGAACCACCAUCAUCAUGGCAGUUACCUCCAAUUCAGCACCUUUUACAGAUCAUCACCAGCUCCUUCUCAUCUCUCACCUGGGAAGAAGAUAUAUAUGUGGAAUGGACUGAUGGAUAUUGUUCAUUGUCAAGUUUGGCCUACAUCCAGAGACCAUAAAUGUCACUCUUCUAUCACUGAGUGAAGAAAAUCAUGCACUUCAGAGGCAGAAAGGGCUUGGGACCUCCAGGCCAGGGAUUCCCAUUAUAGGCUCUGCCAUUUAAUAACUUCAUAACCCUGGGAAGGUUCCUCGGCUUCUCUCAGCCUCACUUUCCUCAUCUAGAAAAUGAAGGUGAGACUCCUACCAGAUGGAGUUGUGGGGGAUUCACGAGACAAUGGAGCAAAACCACUGGCACACAGUGGGUGAUCCAUAAUGGUGGCUCCUGGCCACUUGUACUACAGACACAAAUAAACAAAACCAAAAACCUUCCACAGUUAGAGAGUUUUCACUGGGAAUUUUGACUUCCCUCUACAAUUCAGUCUCCUGCUGUGGACUUUAAGUGGUCAGUGGUGUUGAACAACUAUUAUCUAACUAUUGGCAUAGUAUUAAGAGAUUCAGAGAUAUUGACCAAUGUCAGUGUUUCAGGACCCUUAAUAAUGGGUGGGUUUCAUGAUUCCAUUGUCAAGAUGAGCUCAUUUCUGCUCAGAAGAUUAAAUAAUUGGCCCUGAGACUGGUUAUCUAUCAGCAGAAGCAAACUUUGUGCUGAGAUCCAGGUCACUCUUCCAUGGUAGAGGCAAAACUCCUUCCAGUUCUGCCAGUGACCAGAGGCCAGGAGUGAACUCAAACCAGCAACUGCGGGCCUGGAGGAGUUUAAGGAGGUUUUGGGUCUGUUCUCCAAUGUUCUUGCCAACCCAUAACAAACCUGAUGACUGUUGAGUGACUCCUGGAGGAGAUUAUUAUUCUUUUUCUAUCUCAGGGCUAUGUUACAUAUGUGGAGGAGGGGGCCACAGGGCUGAGAACCUGUGUAGACCUUAAGGGAAAAUAUCCUUUCUUUGCUGUGGCUUGAAGGAGCUUGGGGAGGGUCUGGAAUGUUGCUUCAGUGCUCUUGGAGUUGGUGGUAAGGUUCACAGGUCAGGCCCCAGGCCCCAUCCUACAAUGACCCCACCCUCUUGGACAUUUCUCUAACAUGCCAAGCAUGAUCCCUGUCAUGGGAAUGGAAGUGCCAUGAAGACAGGGAUUUCUUUUUUCUCUUUCCUUCAUUGCUAUUUCUCACCUAUGGUAGAGUUCCUGGCAAAAAGAAGGGACAAAUAGGAUUGAAUAAAUAGAUUAACCAUGAUUUCAGGGCAUAUGUUCUGACUGGUCCCUCUGUUUGGAACAUGCUUACCCAGGAGAGUUCCCUGGCUAAAAAGAGAUUCCUCUUUUUAGGUCUAAGCUCAAAAGUAACCACCACAGAGAGGCUUUUCCUCUCCACCCCAUCUAAAGCUCAUUACCCUCGAUCACUUUAUCCCCUUCCCUUGCUUUAAUAGUCUUCUCUAUCGUGUAUCAUGUAUCAUGAGCUCAUCAUCACUUUUCCCACUGUUCCAUGAGGGCAGAACACUCGUCUCUUGUACAUCCAUUGCUGUAUCUCUGGCACCUGGAACACAACCUGGAGUGAGUCAGUGCUCUGUAAGUUAUGUGUUGAGUGAGUGAGUGAAUGAAUAAAUCCACUAUCCAUGGGAAAACUUGGAACAGUGCUUGCUCAUAGCAGGUAAGAGAUAAGUGCUCUUUUUAUUGAUGAUCAUGAUGACAUCCAAAUGUCACUCUGAGGCUGUGGCACUGUGGAUUGGCCUCUGACGUCCUCAGUGUGCAUCCCAGUAGGUUGGUGAAUGUAAAAGGCUUUCCUUCCCCCCCACCUGCCAUUCCUCCCUGCCACCAUCAGACAUGCUAAAGAACAGUGCUUUCGUCAGCUUCUGCUCCUCCUUUCCCUGGUUGUGGAAUUGUGACAAGGCAUUGGAGACAGUUCAUCCUCUCUCCCCCACUCUUAAAAUACAACUUUCAGAUCCUUCAUACUAACAUAUAAAUGAAUAAUGGCAGUCUCAUCGCUGCAUCCCAUCCGAUCCCAGACACCUGACCUCUCCCAGAAUCUGAAACUUCCCAUCUAUUCACUUUCAUUCAUGUUAUCAAAUGCCUAAAGUGCCUCCACUUUGCCCCAUUUUAUUCCCACAGAUACUCUUUCCAAAAUCCAGCUCCACUAUUCCCUCCCCUGUUACACUCAAGCCCAGAUCUUACAGCAGUUUCUGCCUUCUCUCUCUGGUUUUCCUUGUAGCCCUCUCCCCCUUCCUUUAUAGCCCUUAUCUUGGGCCACUGUACUUAACUAGGCCUUUCUUCUCCAAGAAUGAAGAAUGAAGGAAUGAAACUCAUUUCUUCUCCAGAAUUGAGCUUUGCAAGGCCGGGGUCUUUCGGGUGGGGGAGGGAAUGGGCAGCUCUGACAUGAAUCAGUAGCGGAGGUUCCUCAACCCUGUAGACUCAGCUGUCAGAGCUCCUGGGUUCCAAUCCUACCGGCCCUCUUACCAUCUAUGAGUCCCUGACAAAUGAUUUAAUCACAUUAUAUACCAGGUGUCCCACCUGAAAACAGGGAUCCUAGUUAUUAUACUUCAAUAAACACCAAACACCACUGACCAAUGGAUACAAUUAUAAAGAAGGAUUCCAGAAAGAGAUAACUUGCGAAGGGUGGGGAACUGGAAGUUCCUGUUUAGAUUGUUUUUCCAUUGAUAUAUGGGGACUACUUAAUGAGUUUAUUUGGGACCAGACACAGAGAAAACCAAGCAAUGUUUGAAUGUAUUUCUGAAAAACACCCAGAGUUUUAUUACCAUUAAUUCAGCAGAAAGUUCGUUGCACUGAAAUUAUCACUCUGGCUCAU
rnacentral:lncRNA from 10 species